rnacentral:rRNA from 1 species
CUUGGUCAUUUAGAGGAAGUAAAAGUCGUAACAAGGUUUCCGUAGGUGAACCUGCGGAAGGAUCAUUAUUGAAUUCUCUUCAAAGUUGCUGCUGGCCCUUAGGAGCAUGUGCACACUUUGUUGAAACCAUUUUUCCACCUGUGCACCUCUGUAGACUUGGAUACCUCUCGACUUCUUUUGAAGUCGGUUUGGGGGGCUGCAGUGCGAAAAGCCUGCUCUCUCUGCUUUCCGAGUCUAUGUAUUACAAACCUUUGAACAAACCUAGAAUGUACUUCAAAGGCUUCAUUGCCUACGAUAAAUUAUACAACUUUCAGCAACGGAUCUCUUGGCUCUCGCAUCGAUGAAGAACGCAGCGAAAUGCGAUAAGUAAUGUGAAUUGCAGAAUUCAGUGAAUCAUCGAAUCUUUGAACGCACCUUGCGCUCCUUGGUAUUCCGAGGAGCAUGCCUGUUUGAGUGUCAUUAAAUUAUCAACCCUUCAAUCUUGUGUUGAUUGGGCUUGGAUGUGGGAGUUGCGGGACUCGAAAGAGGUCGGCUCUCCUUAAAUGCAUUAGCAGAACCUUGUGUGGACUGUCUAUUGGUGUGAUAAUUAUCUACGCCUCUUGACUUUGAAGCAUUUUUUUUUGGGGGUUCAGCUCUCUAAUCGUCUCUCGAGACAAUUUUUGACAAUUUGACCUCAAAUCAGGUAGGACUACCCGCUGAACUUAAGCAUAUCAAUAAGCGGAGGA